GGAACGGAGCUAAUACCGGAUAAUAUAUUGAACCGCAUGGUUCAAUAGUGAAAGACGGUUUUGCUGUCACUUAUAGAUGGAUCCGCGCCGCAUUAGCUAGUUGGUAAGGUAACGGCUUACCAAGGCAACGAUGCGUAGCCGACCUGAGAGGGUGAUCGGCCACACUGGAACUGAGACACGGUCCAG
rnacentral:rRNA from 1 species